GCUGGGCGUGGUGGCGGGCACCUGUAAUCCCAGCUACUCAGGAGGCUGAGGCAGGAGAAUCGUUUGAACCCAGGAGGUGGAGGUUGCAGUGAGCUGAGAUCAAGCCACUGCACUCCAGCCUGGGUGACAGGGCGAGACUCCGCCUCAA
ensembl:misc_RNA Metazoa_SRP Metazoan signal recognition particle RNA